ACUCCUGCGGGAGGCAGCAGUGGGGAAUUUUGGACAAUGGGCGAAAGCCUGAUCCAGCAAUGCCGCGUGAGUGAAGAAGGCCUUCGGGUUGUAAAGCUCUUUUGUCAGGGAAGAAACGGUGAGAGCUAAUAUCUUUUGCUAAUGACGGUACCUGAAGAAUAAGCACCGGCUAACUACGUGCCAGCAGCCGCGGUAAUACGUAGGGUGCAAGCGUUAAUCGGAAUUACUGGGCGUAAAGCGUGCGCAGGCGGUUUUGUAAGUCUGAUGUGAAAUCCCCGGGCUCAACCUGGGAAUUGCAUUGGAGACUGCAAGGCUAGAAUCUGGCAGAGGGGGGUAGAAUUCCACGUGUAGCAGUGAAAUGCGUAGAUAUGUGGAGGAACACCGAUGGCGAAGGCAGCCCCCUGGGUCAAGAUUGACGCUCAUGCACGAAAGCGUGGGGAGCAAACAGGAUUAGAAACCCGUGUAGUCCCAUGA
rnacentral:rRNA from 1 species